rnacentral:lncRNA from 1 species
CGGUUAACCACAUCUUAUUUUUCCUCGUACUUCUGACACGUCAUUUCUCAUGAGUUUUUCGAGUUUGGCCUUUCCUCUGCCCAGAAAGUAGCAGGCCUCACGGUGGCUGCUAAUCAACGAGUGGCUAGUUUGUUCGGUAACUUCGGGUACCUACUUCUCCGGUUUCCGCAUAGAAGUCCGUCAUCCUUGAAGUUUAGAACAUAUACAGCCUAUUCUUCCUAUCAAACAGCGGAUUCUAUGAUCCGCCUUUCGCCGGGUAUUGACUCUAUGGCUAUUAUAUUAAGGAGCGCGUCUUGCCGGGCAGUUAAUCGGAGCUCGCC